UGGACCAGUGAUGAUGAAAGCCGGCGUGUGAGUCAGCGACGAUGAGCAUGAGUAGUAGUGUCUGGAACUCUGAGGUCCAG
ensembl:snoRNA